GAUGAACGCUGGCGGCGUGCCUAAUACAUGCAAGUCGAGCGAACGGACGAGAAGCUUGCUUCUCUGAUGUUAGCGGCGGACGGGUGAGUAACACGUGGAUAACCUACCUAUAAGACUGGGAUAACUUCGGGAAACCGGAGCUAAUACCGGAUAAUAUUUUGAACCGCAUGGUUCAAAAGUGAAAGACGGUCUUGCUGUCACUUAUAGAUGGAUCCGCGCUGCAUUAGCUAGUUGGUAAGGUAACGGCUUACCAAGGCAACGAUGCAUAGCCGACCUGAAGGGGGUACCGCCCACCCUGGAACAGAGGAAGGUCCCAGACUCUAAGGGGGGGACGCAGUAGGGAUUCUUCCGGAAUGGGGCAAAGCCUGACGGAGCACAGCGGGGGGGGGGAUGAGGGUUCUCGGAUGGUAAACCCCUGUUUUUGGGGAAGAAAAAAUGUUUAAUUACCCGGGCACAUCUGGACGGUACCAAAACAAAAAGCCCAGGCUAACUCCGU
rnacentral:rRNA from 1 species